AUGUGUACAAUGGAGUUAAAUGGUCCUCCAUUUGGUCAACCAACAACUCCAGCACCUGUUGUGCAAUCUCAUGUGCAAGUGCCCACACAAGAUGAGUUCAGUGACAUAGACAAGCUCACACUUUUGAGUCUCGAGUUCACUUGGAGUGCCGAGGAUGAUCCUAUUAGGAAGGUUAUACUAGAUGAAAUGAAGAAGAUCAAGAGUGGGAAUGAGCUAGUGGAAGAAGUAAAGAAGAUUGAGAAGAACAUCAACAGUGGCAGUACUAUUUCUUCACAGCUUGAGCUGAGUAAUUCUGGAAUUCCCCUUGAUACAUGUGAGGUUCCAAUACCGUCACAUCCAGCUGAGCAAGAUAGCAAGUGCCUUGAGCAAGAGAUACCUCAGAUUGAAGAGGAUGAACUAGAAGACAAGGAACAAGAUGGUCAAGAGCUGCAAUUCCCAAGUGAUUCAGUUAAAGACUCAUCAUCUACUACUCCUGAAGAAGUACAAGAAGCUGCUAUAGAUGAAGAUGAAGAACCUGAGAUUCAUUGGCCUAUUGUCAUACAUGAGCGUGAUGUGUCAGGUUUACCCAAUCCUCUUGAUGACAUGCUCCCUUGUGAUUUCUUUGCUUCUAACUUGCAUUGCAUGAUGCCAUCACUUAAGGUAGAUUUGAAAAACUAUUUGCUUGGACAUGAUCAUACACACCCUGUUAGUGGCAUUACUCUCAUUUGUGAUGAUCACAGUUACUUUCCUCGUGCUAGUUCUAUGCUUAAUGAAACAUAUCAUUCCCAUGCUAGUCUUGAGCUUAAUGAUAAAUAUCAUCCUCAUGUUAGCAUUGAGCUUACUGAUUUCUACCAUCCUAAACAUGUGCUUUAUAGCUAUGCUUAUGUAAUUGGAUAUUCGAUUGAUGACUUGGAGGGUAUUAUCCCUACCACUUGCAUUGUCUCUUUCGUUGAGUUCUCUUUCAGGUUCUUGCUUGUGCACGAUCCACUACAUGCUGACCAAGUUUGA
rnacentral:rRNA from 1 species